rnacentral:sRNA from 1 species
GGAUUCGCAGAGGCAUUUUUGGAACAUCUCUGGAAGAAAUUGCAGGAUCCAAGUAAUCCUGCCAUCAUCAGGCAGGCUGCUGGAAAUUAUAUUGGAAGCUUUUUGGCAAGAGCUAAAUUUAUUCCUCUUAUGAUUCGGGAACAAAGGCAUUCUGUGAUGUUGCUCUCCAUGGACCAUUUUACUCAGCCUGCCAAGCUGUGUUCUACACCUUUGUUUUUAGACACAAGCAGCUUUUGAGCGGAAACCUGAAAGAAGGUUUGCGGUAUCUUCAGAGUCUGAAUUUUGAGCGGAUAGUGAUGAGCCAGCUAAAUCCCCUGAAGAUUUGCCUGCCCUCAGUGGUUAACUUUUUUGCUGCAAUCACAAAUAAGUACCAGCUCGUCUUCUGCUACACCAUCAUUGAGAGGAACAAUCGCCAGAUGCUGCCAGUCAUUAGGAGUACCGCUGGAGGAGACUCGGUGCAGACCUGCACAAACCCGCUGGACACCUUCUUCCCCUUUGAUCCCUGUGUGCUGAAGAGGUCAAAGAAAUUCAUUGAUCCUAUUUAUCAGGUAUGGGAAGACAUGAGUGCUGAAGAGCUACAGGAGUUCAAGAAACCCAUGAGAAAG